rnacentral:misc_RNA from 1 species
UUCUAAUGUUUGAAUAUUUAAAACUGUAGAAAAUAAAAUAAAGAUAUUGAAACUUAUGAUGGUGUCGUCUUCGUUAUCACAGUACAAUUUGCAAUGAACAAUGGGUUUUGUGAUUUUCGCUAUGAUAUUUCUACCUCCAGCAGUUUAUUCAGUGCCAGAUAAUAGACAGAACUUAUCAGUAGCAAAAGGAACCUGAUCGAUCAGCAGAUCAUAGAUAGGUACAGGUGUUGCUGCGUUGGUGCUUACGUGAGUUCGUGGACUUCACAUCGCCGACCAAAUCCGAGUUCAUUUUUCCUUACAAUAAUUCCAGUUCUUUCUAUAAUAUUAUUUCCAAAGUUAUAUCCAAAUUUGGUUUUCUACCUUCUAUAUAUAAUUCUUUUUAUCAUGUUUUCUAAAUGGAAUAUUCUUUUC